rnacentral:rRNA from 1 species
UACGAAGGGGGCUAGCGUUGUUCGGAAUUACUGGGCGUAAAGCGUGCGCAGGCGGCUUCUCAAGUCAGGGGUGAAAGCCCAGAGCUCAACUCUGGAAUUGCCUUUGAGACUGAGUGGCUUGAGUACGAGAGAGGUGAGUGGAAUUCCCAGUGUAGAGGUGAAAUUCGUAGAUAUUGGGAAGAACACCGGUGGCGAAGGCGACUUACUGGACACAUAUUGACGCUGGGUGCGAAGCGUGG